UUUUUCAGCCUUCACUUUCACUUGGGGCGUGGGGGGGUUGGAAGAUUGCGUUGUGGUUUGGGUUUUAUUUUUUGUUCGCUGCGUGCAGAGGUGCUCCCGCAGCUCCCACAGGCAUGUGGGGCUGCCGGGAGGACGGCGAGCGCCGGUGACCUGCCGGCUGUCCCCAGGGAGCCACCCAUCACCGUGUGCUGCAGAGCCGCCGCCGCCAGCCCGCCUCGCCCCGCUGCCACAGCCGACGAGGCCUCUCGGUCCCACGGUUGCCUGGCGGAGCUGCGAUGUGCCGGAUCCUGCACCCCCUCCCGCCGUCCCUGGCUGCUGCCCAGCGAUUUGGGAAAGCGAGACGGCGCAGGCUGAAAUGUGACCCCCGCCACGCUGCGCCGCAAAAUCUCCUUUAGUAACCUGUGCGCCAGGACAGCGAGCGCGCGGCGUGAAUACCAAUGAGGGGAAAAGUGCCGAGUAAAGAGUUUUUGAUGGAAAUGGCA